GCUAGAGGUGUCAGAAAAGUU
rnacentral:siRNA from 1 species